GCCCUCCUUUUCUGGGAGGAGAGGAAGGAAUGUCUCCUGGACACAGGUGUUGUCGUCUGCGGGGCUUUGAAGCUGAGGCCUUGCCUUGGAGGCUCCUCUCAGGACUUGACAGGCCCUUUUCAAUAGACUAUUCAUCCACUUUGGAGGCACCUGAGAAGCACUGAACAAAGAUGGAAAGAGAAGAGCCAGCUGGCUCCCAGUUAGAAACAUUUUCUCCUGUAGAGGAAGAGAGUGGUGGGGCGUUCUGGGAGGACCCUUGGAAGCAAAACCUGGAAAACAGUCUUCUCCAUUCAGAACUUCAUUGCCUACUCUUCCGACGCUUCCGCUAUGAGAAGGCCUUGGGGCCCCGAGAGGCCUGCAGCCGCCUCCACUCUCUCUGCCACCUGUGGCUGAAGCCCCAGCGACACUCCAAGGCGGAGAUGCUGGACCUGGUGAGAUCCUGGAGCAGUUCCUGGCUGUCCUUCCUGCGGAGAUGGAGCGCUGGGUGAGGGAAUGUGGGGCAGAGACCAGCUCCCAGGCCGUGGCCUUGGCUGAAGGCUUCCUCCUGAGUCGGGCAGAAGAGGAGAGAAAGCAGGAGAAACCCCAGGACUCUGUUGCAGAUGAGACCAAUGAGGUGGAAAAGUCUCUUUCGGGCACCCUUUGCACAGUCCAGGUUGGAGACAGGGAACGCAUCACAGUUGGUAAGG